rnacentral:lncRNA from 1 species
UUUUUUUUUUGAGGGUCCGUUUUGAUUUAAGUUAACUAUUUUUUGAUGCUGAUGUAAAAAACUAUUUUUUUGCGGGUGAAAAAAAAACUAUUUUCUGAUGCAAAACCACAUUAUUAUUUUAAACUAAAAACUAAUUCCAGCAACGUCAUGCCUUUUCCGGAUGUCAGGCAGGCCGAGGCCGAACCUAGCCCGGAUGUCUUGCCUUCACGCUAGGUUCAUCUGGAUGGGCUGCCCAUAGUCAUGUCUUGGUAGAAUUACCAAAUUGAUUUUAGGCCAUAAAUUCUAAUAUUUUUUCUUUUCAGAAUAUGUAAGUGGUGCUCCCUCCUAGGGAAACACACUUUGGUUCUCGGGUGUACAUACACCCUAUAUGGAAGAAAACAAAUUAACAAUACAAAAAAUUCAAAAAAUCCAAAACUUUUAUGAAUAAACUUGUCUUUCUUUCGCACUACUAAAUAAUUUUUCAUGAAGAAAAAGAAAACCAUUGACUUCAGGGUAAAGAUUUUUUUCUUCAAUGGCAUGGUUAUUUUCUUCUUCUUUUUCAUAGUGGGGGAGAACCAACUAUGUGUAGGCAUAUUUAGUUAAGCACAUAGUUAAAUUCAUGUCAUUGAUCAAUGAUACCUUGAAUACUUUGAUGACAUCUUGUAUGGUUGUAUACUCUGGUACUCAAGUAGAGCAAUAUAUAAACUGUACCAUUUCUCGCGAAUCAAAUAUACUGUACUGAGAAAGAUGCAGCUUGGAUUAUAAAAGUGGCUGUCAUCGCUUUGACUGAAUCAAUCGCAAGGUCCAGCAGCCCCAAGAUUGGCUGGCUGUUGGGUGAAUGAAUGAAUGCUUUGCUUUUUUGGCUCGCUCAUUCAGUAUGUAAUAAUAACCAGUAUUGUUUGGUUGCCUGUUGUGUCUUGAAACCGAAAUACUUGAAAAGAAUAUAGCUAUCUAUCUAGUAUGUAUGUAUGUUGAUGAAUUUGCCUGGCUGAUUAACGAGGCACCGGAGCCCCCCUCUCCUGCAAAUCUAUCCUUGAUGCCACAAGUGUUUCCAAUUUCCAAAUUUGACAAAAUUUGAAUGAAACGACUCAUAUAUGUAUGCAUCUUUUCCCUUGUCUGUGGGAAGCGACUGCUUUCAAACUUACCACUAGAAAUCAGAUGUGGUGUUUUCGUUACAAUAGGAGUCUUACAUCACUAGUAGAAAACAGGGCUUUGGUUGAGGCCUGGGUAAGGGCAUUAAUCUUGGUUCACUCACGACCCGGGACCAAAUGGGGCAUCAGUCCCGGUUCGUGAGGCCAGGGCGCCGGCCGGGCCUCGGGGGGCCAUUGGUCCUACACUAGUAGAAAACAUGGCUUUGGUACAGGCCUGGCCAGCCCAUUAGUCCCGGUUCAGUCACAAACCAGGACCCAUGGGAGCAUAUGUCCCGGAUCGUGAGCCCAAGGGGCCGGCCGGGCCUCGUGGGGCAUUGGUCCCAGUUCAUCUGUCCCCUUUGGUCCCGGUUCCAGACAUGAACCGGGACCAAUGGGCCUCGUUCCUGGCCCACAUCCAUUGGUCCCGGUUCAUGGUUGGAAUCGGGAGGUUCGUGGCCAAUGAGGUGCCUAUAUAUACCCCCUCGCCCGCGAGCAGAGCACUCCAGUGCUCUGUUUUUUCUGGCCGGUGAGGGGAGAGCUUUGUGGUGCUCUAGAUCACCUUCUAUGCACAUGAGGUGUUCGAUGAAAUGCCCGAGCCACACUAUUUAAGCUUUCUCCUCUCCAAGCUCGACCUCCGGCCUCCAUUUUUCUCAAGAUUUGUCUAGGUUUAGCGGUCUGUCACGUCCCCGUCUUCUCCGCCGUCGAUCGCUCGCGCCGAUCUCGUCGCCGGCACUACCGUGGUGAUCCUCUUGUUCUUAUCUUCUUUCUAAAAGAAAAUAAAUAAGAAGAGGAACAUAAAAAAUAAGAAGCUUUAGAGAGCUAUAUGUUGUUCAAUGAGAACUAUAUAUGUAUGAACUUUAUGUAUUUUUUUAGUAAUAACAUUUGAUCACUAUUGUACUUUGGUUUUAAUGUGAUGAUGAACUUCUAUUAAUUUGGUCACUUAUCUAUCCAUGAUGUUCUGUAAUGGUUUUUGACACACUUAAUUAUAUAAUGCAUGCAGAUGAACCGACAAUGGAUGUAUGGUGACAGACGCACCUCCGAGUACAUUAAGGGCGUGCAUAAUUUUCUCGAAGUGGUUGAGGCAAACAAGCAGAAUGGUUUUAUGUGUUGUCCAUGCCCUAGAUGUGGGAAUACGUAGUCUUACUCUGACCAGAAAAUCCUUCACACCCACCUUCUUGAGUCAUGCCACACUAUAAUGUUUGGACCAAGCACGGAGAAAGAGGGGUUAUGAUGGAAGACAACAAAGAAGAAGAGGAUGAUGACAACUAUGUGCCCCCUGAAUACGGUGAUGCUGCAACGGGGGAAGCUGAAGAUAAAGAGGAACCAAACGAUGUGCCCGAUGAUGAUCUUCGUCGGGUCAUUGUUGAUGCAAAGAGACAAUGCGGAAGUGAAAAGGAGGAGUUGAAGUUCGAUCGCAUGUUAGAGGAUCAAAUAAAAGGGUUGUACCCCAAUUGCGAAGAUGGCAACACAAAGCUCGGUACCACACUGGAAUUGCUGGAGUGAAAGGCAGACAAUGGUGUAUCUGACAACGGAUUUGAGAAGCUACUGAAAAUAUUGAAGAAGAAGCUUCCAAAGGAUAACGAAUUGCCCGACAGACGACAGUACGUACGGAGCAAAGAAGGUUCUAUGCCCUCUAGGAUUGGAGGUGCAAAAGAUACAUGCAUGCCCUAAUGACUGCAUCCUCUACCGCGGUGCGUACUGCUACCUCUUGAGCAUGCGUUGGUUUUCCCUUGAACGGGAAAGGGUGAUGCAACAAAGUAGCGUAAGUAUUUCCCUCAGUUUUGAGAACCAAGGUAUCAAUCCAGUAGGAGACAAUGCACAAGUCACCUAGUACCUGCACAAACAAUCAAGAACCUUGCAACCAAUGUGAUAAAGGGGUUGUCAAUCCCUUCACGGUCACUCACAAAAGUGAGAUCUAAUAAAGAUAGUAAAGUAAAUAUUUUUGGUAUUUUUGUUGUAUAGAUUGGAAAGUAAAGAUUGCAAAAUAGUAAACGAGAUGCGAUGUAAAUAAAAGAGAUGCAAUAUAAUAAGAAAGAGACCCGGGGGCCAUAGGUUUCACUAGUGCUUCUCUCAAGAUAGCAAGUAUUACGGUGGGUGAACAAAUUACUGCCGAGCAAUUGAUAGAAAAGCGCAGAGUUAUGAAGAUAUCUAAGGCAAUGAUCAUGAAUAUAGGCAUCACGUCCGUGUCAAGUAGAUCGAAAUGAUUCUGCAUCUGCUACUAUUACUCCACACAUCGACCGCUAUCCAGCAUGCAUCUAGAGUAUUAAGUUCAUAAGAACAGAGUAACGCAUUAAACAAGAUGACAUGAUGUAGAGGGAUAAACUCAAGCAAUAUGAUAUAAAGCCCAUCUUUUUAUCCUCAAUGGAAACAAUACAAUACGUGCCUUAUUGCCCCUACUGUCACUGUGAAAGGACACCGCAAGAUUGAACCCAAAACUAAGCACUUCUCCCAUUGCAAGAAAAAUCAAUCUAGUAGACCAAACUAAACCGAUAAUUCAAAGAGACUUGCAAAGAUAUCAAAUCAUGCAUAUAAGAAUUUAGAGAAAAACCAAAUAAUAUUCAUAGAUAAUCUUGUUCAUAAACCCACAAUUCAUCGGAUCUCGGCAAACACACCACAAAAAAGUAUUACAUCGAAUAGAUCUCCAAGAACAUCGAGGAGAACUUUGUAUUGAGAAUCAAAGAGAGAGAGAAGAAGCCAUCUAGCUAAUAACUAUGGACCCGAAGGUCUAUGUUAAACUACUCACGCUUCAUCAGAGAGGCAAUGGUGUUGAUGUAGAAGCCCUCCGUGAUCGAUUCCCCCUCCGGCAGAUCACCGGAAAAGGCCCUGAGAUGGGAUCUCAUGGGUACAGAAGGUUGCGCCGGUGGAAAAGUGGUUUCGUGCCUCUCUGCGAUGUUUCUAGGGUAUAAGAGUAUAUAUAGGCGAAAGAAGUACGUCAGUGGAGCUACGAGGGGCCCACGAGGGUGGGGGCGCGCCCUCCUGCCUCGUGGCCUCCUCGUGGAGUUCCAGACUUCGACUCCAAGUCUUCUGGAUUGCUUUCGGUCCAGGAAAGAUCAUCGCAAAGGUUUCAUCCUGUUUGGACUCCGUUUGGUAUUCCUUUUCUGCGAAACUCUAAAAUAGGCAAAAAAACAGAAACUGGCACUGGGCCUCCGGUUAAUAGGUUAGUCCCAAAAAUAAUAUAAAAUAGCAUAUUAAAGCCCAUUAAACAUACAAAAAAGAUAAUAUAAUAGCAUGGAACAAUAAAAAAUUAUAGAUACGUUGGAGACGUAUCACGUACGAGGAUUUGAACGCAUGCCCAGUAUGCGGUGCAUUGCGGUAUAAGAUCAGACGAGAUGACGCUGGUGAUGUUUGAUGGGUUUCAUAGUAAUUUCAAAAAAAUUCCUACGCACACGCAAGAUCAUGUGAUGCAUAGCAACGAGAGGGGAGAGUGUUGUCUACGUACCCAUGCAGACCGACUGCGGAAGCGUUGACACAACGUAGAGGAAGUAGUCGUACGUCUUAACGAUCCAACCGAUCAAGCACCGAAACUACGACACCUCCGAGUUCGAGCACACGUUCAGCUCGAUGACGAUCCCCGGACUCCGAUCCAGCAAAGUGUCGGGAAAGAGUUCUGUCAGCACGACGGCGUGGUGACGAUCUUGAUGUACUACAGCAGCAGGGCUUCGCCUAAACUCCGCUACAGUAUUAUCGAGGACUAUGGUGGCUGGGGGCACCGCACACGGCUAAGGAAUAGAUCACGUGGAUCAACUUGUGUGUUCUAGGGUGCCUCUACCUCAGUAUAUAAAGGACCAAAGGGGGGAGGCUGGCCGGCCACAAGGGGUGCGCCAGGAGAGUCCUACUCCCUCUGGGAGUAGGAUNNNNNNNNNNNNNNNNNNNNNNNNNNNNNNNNNNNNNNNNNNNNNNNNNNNNNNNNNNNNNNNNNNNNNNNNNNNNNNNNNNNNNNNNNNNNNNNNNNNNNNNNNNNNNNNNNNNNNNNNNNNNNNNNNNNNNNNNNNNNNNNNNNNNNNNNNNNNNNNNNNNNNNNNNNNNNNNNNNNNNNNNNNNNNNNNNNNNNNNNNNNNNNNNNNNNNNACUCCCUCCGGGAGUAGGAUUCCCCCCAAUCCUAGUUGGAAUAGGAUUCCUCGGGGGGGGGGGGAGAGAGAGGGGGCCGGCCACCUCUCCUAGUCUUAAUAGGACUAGAGGAGGGGGGAGGCGCGCAGCCCACCUUGGGCUGCCCCUUUCUCCUUUCCACUAAAGCCCACUAAGGCCCAUAUGGUUCCCGGGGGGUUCCGGUAACCUCCCGGUACUCCGGUAAAAUCCCGAUUUCACUCGGAACACUUCCGAUAUCCAAACAUAGGCUUCCAAUAUAUCAAUCUUUAUGUCUCGACCAUUUCUAGACUCCUCGUCAUGUCCGUGAUCACAUCCGGGACUCCGAACUAACUUCGGUACAUCAAAAUGCAUAAACUCAUAAUAUAACUGUCAUCGUAACCUUAAGCGUGCGGACCCUACGGGUUCGAGAACAAUGUAGACAUGACCGAGACACGUCUCCGGUCAAUAACCAAUAGCGGGACCUGGAUGCCCAUAUUGGCUCCUACAUAUUCUACGAAGAUCUUUAUCGGUCAGACUGCAUGACAACAUACGUUGUUCCCUUUGUCAUCGGUAUGUUACUUGCCCGAGAUUCGAUCGUCGGUAUCCAAUACCUAGUUCAAUCUCAUUACCGGCAAGUCUCUUUACUCGUUCUAUAAUACAUCAUCCCGCAACUAACUCAUUAGUUGCAAUGCUUGCAAGGCUUAUGUGAUGUGCAUUACCGAGAGGGCCCAGAGAUACCUCUCCGACAAUCGGAGUGACAAAACCUAGUCUCGAAAUACGCCAACCCAACAUGUACCUUUGGAGACACCUGUAGUACUCCUUUAUAAUCACCCAUUUACGUUGUGAUGUUUGGUAGUACCCAAAGUGUUCCUCCGGUAAACGGGAGUUGCAUAAUCUCAUAGUUAUAGGAACAUGUAUAAGUCAUGAAGAAAGCAAUAGCAACAUACUAAACGAUCGGGUGCUAAGCUAAUGGAAUGGGUCAUGUCAAUCAGAUCAUUCAACUAAUGAUGUGACCUCGUUAAUCAAAUAACAACUCAUUGUUCAUGGUUAGGAAACAUAACCAUCUUUGAUUAACGAGCUAGUCAAGUAGAGGCAUACUAGUGACACUUUGUUUGUCUAUGUAUUCACACAUGUAUUAGGUUUCCGAUUAAUACAAUUCUAGCAUGAAUAAUAAACAUUUAUCAUGAUUAUAAGGAAAUAAAUAAUAACUUUAUUAUUGCCUCUAGGGCAUAUUUCCUUCAGUCUCCCACUUGCACUAGAGUCAAUAAUCUAGAUUACACUGUAAUGAUUCUAACACCCAUGGCGCCUUGGUGCUGAUCAUGUUUUGCUCGUGGAAGAGGCUUAGUCAAUGGGUCUGCAACAUUCAGAUCCGUAUGUAUCUUGCAAAUCUGUAUGUCUCUCACCUGGACUAGAUCCCGGAUGGAAUUGAAGCGUCUCUUGAUGUGCUUGGUUCUCUUGUGAAAUCUGGAUUCCUUUGCCAAGGCAAUUGCACCAGUAUUGUCACAAAAGAUUUUCAUUGGACCCGAUGCACUAGGUAUGACACCUAGAUCGGAUAUGAACUCCUUCAUCCAGACUCCUUCGUUCGCUGCUUCCGAAGCAGCUAUGUACUCCGCUUCACAUGUAGAUCCCGCUACGACGCUUUGUUUAGAACUGCACCAAUUGACAGCUCCACCGUUUAAUGUAAACAUGUACCCGGUCUGCGAUUUAGAAUCGUCCGGAUCAGUGUCAAAGCUUGCAUCAACGUAACCUUUUACGAUGAGCUCUUUGUCACCUCCAUAUACGAGAAAUAUAUCCUUAGUCCUUUUCAGGUAUUUCAGGAUGCUCUUGACCGCUGUCCAGUGAUCCACUCCUGGAUUACUUUGGUACCUCCCUGCUAAACUUAUAGCAAGGCACACAUCAGGUCUGGUACACAGCAUUGCAUACAUGAUAGAGCCUAUGGCUGAAGCAUAGGGAACAUCUUUCAUUUUCUCUCUAUCUUCUGCAGUGGUCGGGCAUUGAGUCUGACUCAACUUUACACCUUGUAACACAGGCAAGAACCCUUUCUUUGCUUGAUCCAUUUUGAACUUCUUCAAAAUCUUGUCAAGGUAUGUGCUUUGUGAAAGUCCAAUUAAGCGUCUUGAUCUAUCUCUAUAGAUUUUUAUGCCUAAUAUGUAAGCAGCUUCACCGAGGUCUUUCAUUGAAAAACUCUUAUUCAAGUAUCCCUUUAUGCUAUCCAGAAAUUCUAUAUCAUUUCCAAUCAGUAAUAUGUCAUCCACAUAUAAUAUCAGAAAUGCUACAGAGCUCCCACUCACUUUCUUGUAAAUACAGGCUUCUCCGAAAGUCUGUAUAAAACCAAAUGCUUUGAUCACACUAUCAAAGCGUUUAUUCCAACUCCGAGAGGCUUGCACCAGUCCAUAAAUGGAUCCCUGGAGUUUGCACACUUUGUUAUCUCCCUUUGGAUCGACAAAACCUUUCGGUUGCAUCAUAUACAACUCUUCUUCCAGAAAUCCAUUCAGGAAUGCAGUUUUGACAUCCAUCUGCCAAAUUUCAUAAUCAUAAAAUGCGGCUAUUGCUAACAUGAUUCGGACAAACUUAAGCAUCGCUACGGGUGAGAAGGUCUCAUCGUAGUCAACCCCUUGAACUUGUCGAAAACCUUUUGCGACAAGUCGAGCUUUGUAGACAGUAACAUUACCAUCACCGUCAGUCUUCUUCUUGAAGAUCCAUUUAUUCUCAAUUGCUUGCCGAUCAUCGGGCAAGUCAACCAAAGUCCAUACUUUGUUCUCAUACAUGGAUCCCAUCUCAGAUUUCAUGGCUUCAAGCCACUUUGCGGAAUCUGGGCUCACCAUCGCUUCUUCAUAGUUCGUAGGUUCAUCAUGAUCUAGUAGCAUGACUUCCAGAACAGGAUUACCGUACCACUCUGGCGCGGAUCUCGCUCUGGUCGAUCUACGAGGUUCAGUAGAAUCUUGACCUGAAGUUUCAUGAUCAACAUCAUUAGCUUCCUCACUAAUUGGUAUAGAUGUCGCAGAAACAGUUUUCUGUGAUGUACUAUUUUCUAAUAAGGGAGCAGGUACAGUUACUUCGUCAAGUUCUACUUUCCUCCCACUCACUUCUUUCGAGAGAAACUCCUUCUCUAGAAAGGAUCCAUUCUUAGCAACGAAAGUUUUGCCUUCGGAUCAGUGAUAGAAGGUGUAUCCAAUAGUUUCCUUUGGAUAUCCUAUGAAGACACAUUUCUCCGAUUUGGGUUCGAGCUUAUCAGGUUGAAGCUUUUUCACAUAAGCAUCGCAGCCCCAAACUUUUAAAAACGACAACUUUGGUUUCUUGCCAAACCACAGUUUAUAAGGCGUCGUCUCAACGGAUUUUGAUGGUGCCCUAUUUAACGUGAAUGCGGCCGUCUCUAGAGCGUAUCCCCAAAACGAUAGCGGUAAAUCAGUAAGAGACAUCAUAGAUCGCACCAUAUCUAGUAAAGUACGAUUAAGACGUUCGGACACACCAUUACGCUGUGGUGUUUCGGGUGGCGUGAGUUGCAAAACUAUUCCACAAUUUUUCAAAUGUACACCAAACUCGUAACUCAAAUAUUCUCCUCCACGAUCAGAUCGUAGAAACUUUAUUUUCUUGUUACGAUGAUUUUCAACUUCACUCUGAAAUUCCUUGAACUUUUCAAAUGUUUCAGACUUGUGUUUCAUUAAGUAGAUAUAUCCAUAUCUGCUUAAGUCAUCUGUGAAGGUGAGAAAAUAACGAUAUCCGCCAUGAGCCUCAAUAUUCAUCGGACCACAUACAUCUGUAUGUAUGAUUUCCAACAAAUCUGUUGCUCUCUCCAUAGUACCGGAGAACGGUGUUUUGGUCAUCUUGCCCAUGAGGCACGGUUCGCAAGUACCAAGUGAUUCAUAAUCAAGUGGUUCCAAAAGUCCAUCAGAAUGGAGUUUCUUCAUGCACUUUACACCGAUAUGACCUAAACGGCAGUGCCACAAAUAAGUUGCACUUUCAUUAUCAACUCUGCAUCUUUUGGCUUCAACAUUAUGAAUAUGUGUAUCACUACUGUCGAGAUUCAUCAAAAAUAGACCACUCUUCAAAGGUGCAUGACCAUAAAAGAUAUUACUCAUAUAAAUAGAACAACCAUUAUUCUCUGAUUUAAAUGAAUAACCGUCUCGCAUCAAACAAGAUCCAGAUAUAAUGUUCAUGCUCAAUGCUGGCACCAAAUAACAAUUAUUUAGGUCUAAUAUUAAUCCCGAAGGUAGAUGUAGAGGUAGCGUGCCGACCGCGAUCACAUCGACUUUGGAACCGUUUCCCACGCGCAUCGUCACCUCGUCCUUUGCUAGUGUCCGCUUAUUCCGUAGUCCCUGUUUCGAGUUGCAAAUAUUAGCAACAAAACCAGUAUCAAAUACCCAGGUGCUACUGCGAGCUCUAGUAAGGUACACAUCAAUAACAUGUAUAUCACAUAUACCUUUGUUCACCUUGCCAUCCUUCUUAUCCGCCAAAUACUUGGGGCAGUUCCGCUUCCAGUGACCAGUCUGCUUGCAGUAGAAGCACUUAGUUUCAGGCUUAGGUCCAGACUUGGGUUUCUUCUCCUGAGCAGCAACUUGCUUGCCGUUCUUCUUGAAGUUCCCCUUCUUCUUCCCUUUGCCCUUUUUCUUGAAACUAGUGGUCUUGUUAACCAUCAACACUUGAUGCUCCUUCUUGAUUUCUACCUCCGCAGCUUUCAGCAUCACGAAGAGCUCGGGAAUAGUCUUGUUCAUCCCUUGCAUAUUAUAGUUCAUCAUGAAGCUCUUGUAGCUUGGUGGCAGUGAUUGGAGAAUUCUGUCAAUGACGCAAUCAUCUGGAAGAUUAACUCCCAUCUGAAUCAAGUGAUUAUUAUACCCAGACAUUUUGAGUAUAUGCUCACUGACAGAACUGUUCUCCUCCAUCUUGCAGCUAUAGAACUUAUUGGAGACUUCAUAUCUCUCAAUCCGGGCAUUUGCUUGAAAUAUUAACUUCAACUCCUGGAACAUCUCAUAUGCUCCAUGACGUUCAAAACGUCGUUGAAGUCCCGAUUCUAAGCCGUAAAGCAUGGCACACUGAACUAUCGAGUAGUCAUCAGCUUUGCUCUGCCAGACGUUCAUAACAUCUGGUGUUGCUACAGCAGCAGGCCUGGCACCCAGCGGUGCUUCCAGGACGUAAUUCUUCUGAGCAGCAAUGAGGAUAAUCCUCAAAUUACGGACCCAGCCCGUGUAAUUGCUACCAUCAUCUUUCAACUUUGCUUUCUCAAGGAACGCAUUAAAAUUCAACGGAACAACAGCACGAGUCAUCUAUCUACAAUCAACAUAAACAAGCAAGAUACUAUCAGGUACUAAGUUCAUCAUAAGUUUAAGUUCAAUUAAUCAAAUUACUUAAGAACUCCCACUUAGAUAGACAUCCCUCUAAUCCUAUAAGUGAUCACGUGAUCCAAAUCAACUAAACCAUAACCGAUCAUCACGUGAGAUGGAGUAGUUUUUAAUGGUGAACAUCGUUAUGUUGAUCAUAUCUACUAUAUGAUUCACGUUCGACCUUCCGGUCUCCGUGUUCCGAGGCCAUAUCUGCAUAUGCUAGGCUCGUCAAGUUUAACCUGAGUAUUCUGCGUGUGCAAAACUGGCUUGCACCCGUUGUAGAUGGACGUAGAGCUUAUCACACCCGAUCAUCACGUGGUGUCUGGGCACGACGAACUUUGGCAACGGUGCAUACUCAGGGAGAACACUUCUUGAUAAUUUAGUGAGAGAUCAUCUUAUAAUGCUACCGUCAAUCAAAGCAAGAUAAGAUGCAUAAAAGGAUAAACAUCACAUGCAAUCAAUAUAAGUGAUAUGAUAUGGCCCUCAUCAUCUUGUGCUUGUGAUCUCCAUCUUCGAAGCACCAUCAUGAUCAUCAUCGUCACCGGCGCGACACCUUGAUCUCCAUCGCAGCAUCGUUGUCGUCUCGCCAAUCUUAUGCUUCCACGACUAUCACUACCGCUUAGUAAUAAAGUAAAGCAUUACAUCACGUUUCAUUGCAUACAAUAAAACGACAACCAUAAGGCUCCUGCCAGUUGCCGAUAACUCGGUUACAAAACAUGAUCAUCUCAUACAAUAAAAUUCAGCAUCAUGUCUUGACCAUAUCACAUCACAACAUGCCCUGCAAAAACAAGUUAGACGUCCUCUACUUUGUUGUUGCAAGUUUUACGUGGCUGCUACGGGCUUAAGCAAGAACCAAUCUCACCUAUGCAUCAAAACCACAACGAUAGUUUGUCAAAUAGACUCCGUUUUAACCUUCGCAAGGACCGGGCGUAGCCAUACUUGGUUCAACUAAAGUUGGAGAGACAGUCGCCCGCAAGCCACCUAUGUGCAAAGCACGUCGGGGGAACCGGUCUCGCGUAAGCGUACGCGUAAUGUUGGUACGGGUCGUCUCGUCCAACAAUGCCGCCAAACCAAAGUAUGACAUGCUGGUAGGCAGUAUGACUUAUAUCGCCCACAACUCACUUGUGUUCUAUUCGUGCAUAUAACAUCAACAUAAAUAACCUAGGCUCGGAUGCCACUGAUGGGUUUCGUAGUAAUUUCAAAAAAUUUCCUACGCACACGCAAGAUCAUGUGAUGCAUAGCAACGAGAGGGGAGAGUGCUGUCUAUGUACCCACGCAGACCGACUGCGGAAGCGUUGACACAACAUAGAGGAAGUAGUCGUGCGUCUUCACGAUCCAACCGAUCAAGCACCAAAACUACGGCACCUCCGAGUUCGAGCACACGUUCAGCUCGAUGACGAUCCCCGGACUCCGAUCCAGCAAAGUGUCGGGGAAGAGUUCCGUCAGCACGACGGCGUGGUGACGAUCUUGAUGUACUACAGCAGCAGGGCUUCGCCUAAACUCCGCUACAGUAUUAUCGAGGACUAUGGUGGCUGGGGGCACCGCACACGGCUAAGGAAUAGAUCACGUGGAUCAACUUGUGUCUUCUAGGGUGCCUCUACCUCAGUAUAUAAAGGACCAAAGGGGGGGAGGCUGGCCGGCCACAAGGGGCGCGCCAGGAGAGUCCUACUCCCUCCGGGAGUAGGAUUCCCCCCAAUCCUAGUUGGAAUAGGAUUUCUCGGGGGGGGGGGGAAGAGAGAGAGGGGGCCGGCCACCUCUCCUAGUCCUAAUAGGACUAGGGGAGGGGGGAGGCGCGCAGCCCACCUUGGGCUGCCCCUUUCUCCUUUCCACUAAAGCCCACUAAGGCCAUAUGGUUCCCGGGGGGUUCCGGUAACCUCCCGGUACUCCGGUAAAAUCCUGAUUUCACUCGGAACACUUCCGAUAUCCAAACAUAGGCUUCCAAUAUAUCAAUCUUUAUGUCUCGACCAUUUCGAGACUCCUCGUCAUGUCCGUGAUCACAUCCGGGACUCCGAACUAACUUCGGUACAUCAAAAUGCAUAAACUCAUAAUAUAACUGUCAUCGUAACCUUAAGCGUGCGGACCCUACGGGUUCGAGAACAAUGUAGACAUGACCGAGACACAUCUCUGGUCAAUAACCAAUAGCGGGACCUGGAUGCCCAUAUUGGCUCCUACAUAUUCUACGAAGAUCUUUAUCGGCCAGACCGCAUAACAGCAUACGUUGUUCCCUUUGUCAUCGGUAUGUUACUUGCCCGAGAUUCGAUCGUCGAUAUCCAAUACCUAGUUCAAUCUCGUUACCGGCAAGUCUCUUUACUCGUUCUGUAAUACAUCAUCCCGCAACUAACUCAUUAGUUGCAAUGCUUGCAAGGCUUAUGUGAUGUGCAUUACCGAGAGGGCCCAGAGAUACCUCUCCGACAAUCGGAGUGACAAAACCUAGUCUCGAAAUACGCCAACCCAACAUGUACCUUUGGAGACACCUGUAGUACUCCUUUAUAAUCACCCAGUUACGUUGUGACGUUUGGUAGUACCCAAAGUGUUCCUCCGGUAAACGGGAGUUGCAUAAUCUCAUAGUUAUAGGAACAUGUAUAAGUCAUGAAGAAAGCAAUAGCAACAUACUAAACGAUCGGGUGCUAAGCUAAUGGAAUGGGUCAUGUCAAUCAGAUCAUUCAACUAAUGAUGUGACCUCGUUAAUCAAAUAACAACUCAUUGUUCAUGGUUAGGAAACAUAACCAUCUUUGAUUAACGAGCUAGUCAAGUAGAGGCAUACUAGUGACACUUUGUUUGUCUAUGUAUUCACACAUGUAUUAUGUUUCCGAUUAAUAAAAUUCUAGCAUGAAUAAUAAACAUUUAUCAUGAUUAUAAGGAAAUAAAUAAUAACUUUAUUAUUGCAUCUAGGGCAUAUUUCCUUCAAUGUUGACGGCGAGCGCCCCAGGAAGAGGGUUCCUGCCAAGGUGAUGUGGUAUGCUCCUAUAAUACCACGGUUGAAACAUCUGUUCAGAAACAAAGAGCAUGCCAAGUUGAUUCGAUGGCACAAAGAUGACCGUUAGAAAGACGGGAAGUUGAGAGCACCCGCUGAUGGGUCGCAAUGGAGAAAAAUCGAUAGAAAGUGGAGGGACUUUGCAGGUGAUGCAAGGAACAUAUGGUUUGGUUUAAACGCGGAUGGCAUUAAUCCUUUCGGGGAGCAGAGCAGCAAUCAUAGCACCUGGCUCGUGACUCUAUGUAUCUAUAACCUUCCUCAUUGGUUAUGCAUGAACCGGAAGUUCAUUAUGAUGCCAGUUCUCAUCCAAGGCUCUAAGUAACUCAGCAACGACAUUGAUGUGUACCUAAGGCCAUUAGUUGAAUAACUUUUACAGCUGUGGAAUGGAAACGGUGUACGUGUGUGGGAUGAGCAAGGCCAGCAGGAAUUUCACCUACAUGCGUUGCUGUUUGUAACCAUCAAUGAUUGGCCUGCUCUCAGUAACCUUUCAGGACAGACAAACAAGAGAUGCCACGCACGCACUAUUUAGAUCACAUCAAAAGUAUAUAUUUGGACAAAUGUAGGUACUUGGGGCAUCGUCGAUUUCCUCCGGCCAACCAUCAAUGUCGAAAGAAAGGUAAGUAUUUCAAAGGCGAGGCAGAUCAUCGGAAGAAGCCCGCCGUUCGUAAUGCCUGAGCGCCCCACAGCGGCCAUGUGGAGUCCCUUCUGUCUCGGUUUGUAAGCGUACUGGGACUAAAGGUUUUGGGUUUUAGUCUCGACCCUUUAGUCCCGGUUCUAGAACCGGGGCUAAAGGGCCUCUGGAACCGGGGUAAAUGGGAGAAACAAAAAGGUGAUUACAUAAGAGAACCAAAACAUGUUGUUACCGGACCAAACGAAAAGGUGAUUAUACUCUAUCAGUAUGUAGCAUCGAAAUGGUCUGUGAGACAACGUUUGUGUAGAGCUCUCUUGAAUGGGCCACAUUCACCAUCUAUGGUGUGGAUACCCUGUGUGGCCCUUGGCCCAGACAAAGCUCCCACAAAAAGCAAAGAGCCUAUCAUGAGGGCUGGAUGUUUUAGUCCCACCUUGCUUGUGCAACAGGUUUUUGACCAACUUAUAAGGCCAUCUCACAUGCUUUCUUUAGAUGAGAUGGAGAUAAGGUAGAGCUAUGUUACCUCUACACCACACACCUAUAACGCGUGCGCUCGUGAAUUAAACGUUAACUUAUCGCAACUUAAGACUUGACAUGGUGUUAUUUUUGUGCAAAAUAAAAGUUCUCGGAUUGACCUGAAAAUUUACGGAGAAUAUUUUUGAAAUAUGUAAAAAAUAUUGGCGCAAGAAUAAACCAGAGGGGGGCCACCCAGAGGCCACAAGCCCUAGGGGCGCGCCCUGCAUGCUUGUGGGCCCCCUGGAGCUCCCCCGACCCUAAUUCCAACUCUAUAAGUACCUAUUCACGGAGAGAGAAAACCAGAGAGAAGGAUUCAUCACGUUUUACGAUACGGAGCCACCGCCACCUCUUGUUCUUCAUCGGAAGGGCUGAUCUGGAGUCUGUUCGGGGCUCCGUAGAGGGGGAUUCAUUGCCAUCAUCAUCACCAACCUUCUUCCAUCACCAAUUCAUGAUGCUCACCGUCGUGCGUGAGUAAUUUCAUCGUAGGCUUGCUGGACGGUGAUGGGUUGGAUGAGAUUUAUCAUGUAAUCGAGUUAGUUUUGUUAGGGUUUGAUCCCUAGUAUGCACUAUGUUCUGAGAUUGAUGUUGCUAUGACUUUGUUAUGAUUAAUGCUUGUCACUAGGGCCCAAGUGCCAUGAUUUCAGAUCUGAACAUAUUACAUUUUCAUGAACAAAUUUAUGUUCUUGAUCCUAUCUUGCAAGUUGUAGAAACCUAUUACGAGUUAUGAUCCGCAUACCCCAAGAUGACAAUAAGUGGAAUUCUUUCCUGUGAUUACCGUAGUUUGAGGAGUUCAUGUAUUCACUAAGUGCCAAUGCUUUGGUCUGGUUCUCUAUUAAAAGGAGGUCUUAAUAUCCCUUAGUUUCCAUUAGGACCUCACUGCCACGGGAGGGACCGGAGGGUGGGACAAAAGAUGUCAUGCAAGUUCUUUUCCAUAAGCACGUAUGACUAUAUACAAAAUACAUGCCUACAUUAUAUUGAUGAAUUGAAGCUAGUUCUAUGUCAUCCUAGGUUAUAACUGCUACAUGAUAAAUAUUAUUCGACACAAUUAUCAUUGCCGAUACAUUGCCUGCAAGCUUUUCACAUAUUGAUCUCUGCUAAGUUACUUUCGUUGCUACUGCUGUUACAAUCACUACAAACUGAUGCUAUUACUUUUGCCACUGUUAUCGUUACUUCCAUACUACUUUGCUACUAAAUACUUUGCUGCAGAUAUUAAGUCUUACAAGCGUGGUUGAAUUGACAACUGAACAUGUAGUACUCGCGAAUAUUCUUUGGCUCCCUUAUGUCGAAUCAAUAAAUUUUGGUUGAAUACUAUACCCUCGAAAACUGUUACGAUCUCCUAUACUUGUGGGUUAUCGCAGGCCAAUGGGACGCAAGGCGCUGGCCCUCAUGGCCAUAUCGACCACCUCCUGGGACGACCAACCCCCAACAGCAUGACGAAAGAGCCCCGAUAGGCGUCGGCGCCGAGCUAGGACUAGGGGGUAGAGGGAAAUGAGAGGAGGAGAAGAGGAAGGAGGAAAACGCUCCGUUGUCGCGAUCCCAUGGUGAAAGUUUGCUCGGUAUGGAUGACCGGUGGUGGCGAGGGGGAAGGGCGAGCAGGUAGCGAUGGGGUGGGGCUCUGCCCGUGUCGACAUGAACCGUUUCUUUUCCAAACAAAAGUUAAGAUGUUAACAGAAGCUCAUUGUGUCUUAAUUAUGUAUUUUAAUUUUUUUAUCGUGUAUCCUAAAAAAAUUGCCAUGCAAUUAAAUUUCUUUUAACAUGUACCUUUAAAAUGUUCAACGCAUUUUUCAGAUAUAUUCACCGUAUAUUUAGGAAAAUGGUUGACACAUAUUAUAAGUACUUGAAAAAUGUUUGACAUGUCUUUAAAAAUUAUUUAGCACAUGUCUAAAAAAAUUCAACAAGUAUAUUAAAAAGGUUAAAUGUAUUUGUUUAAAAUUUCAUCAUGCACUUAGAAUUUUUUUGACUUAUAUUUGAAACAUGUUUAACGUGUGUUAAAAAAUGUUCAUUAUGCAUUUGAAAAUGUACAAUAGGGAUCUUCAACAAUAGUUGAACGAGUAAAAAGGAUGUUCACCAUGUAUUUUGAAAAAAAACAUUUGAUAUAUAUUUGAAAAAUGUCUUACACAUGUUUAAAAGGCUCACCAUAUAUUUAAAAAUGUACAACCAAUAUAUAGAAAAAUAUUCAGCAUGUAUUUAGCAAAUAGUCUACAUGUAACAAACUGAAAAAUUAAAACCAGGAGAAAACAUAAAAGAGAAACAUAAAGUAAAUAAAUGUCAAAUGUUUAUCCAAGAAAAUGUUUAAAGUGUAUUGCAAUUUACAAAUGGUCAAAUUGUAUUAAAACAAUGUUCAUACACUGACACCUGGCGGACUAAAAUAAUCACAAGUUCAAACUAAUAAAAGAAAGACCACAAACGGAGAAAAUGAGAUAGUAAAUUAAAAAACAAAAAAAUAGAACAAAUAACGAAGAGAAAAAUAAAAGCGAAAGGAAACAAAAACAUAUCGGAACCUUCCUCGAACUGCCAAAGGGCGCCUCCUAUUUCUCAUGUAGGUAGUGACCCUCCGCGUGCCCGUGCUCUCUAUGAGCCGGCCAUUCCAGUUUAGGGAAGGCUCUAGAACCGUUGUUGAACCAUUUUUUCUUUUAUUAUUUAAUUUUUCCUCUGGUUUCUCCUUUCUUUCUCGUUUUUAGUUUUGUAUUUUAUUUUCUCCUUUUUACAAACCAUUGAACUUUUCUCCAAGCCAUUUUUUUAAUUUCGUAUACUUUUCCAAAGCCAUUAACCUUUUUGAAAGACGCCCUCAGUUUUUCAAAUUCACGAACCAUUUUCAAAUUGGUUAUUUUUUCUGAAAUAUGUGAAAUCUUAAAAUUCACACGCAUUUUAUAAUUCCGAGAAUAUUUUAAAAAUUUAUGAUUUUUUUGGAAAUUCAAGAAUAUUUGUAAAAUCAUCAACAUUUUUUGAACUUUUGGACCAAUUUAUGAAAUUGCGAACUUUUGUUGAAUAUAUGCUAACAUUUUGUGUGUGUGUGUGUGUGUGUGUGUGUGUGAAAUCAUCAACAUUUUGUGUUCCUACAAAAAUAUGCUAAACUUUUGUGGAUGGUAGAAUGUUUUUUUUAUUCACAAACUUUGUUUUGAAACUUUUUGUGAAUGGUGACAUGAGAAUAUAUUGUUGGAAGGACAUGUUAAAUCGUAUUCACUUCGUUCCAACAACGCCAUGUUAGAUUUAAACGAGCAAUAAUAAAGAAAAAGGUGCCAAGGCGGAACUCGUAGCAACUGCGGUCUUUUGUAAUGCAUGAAGUGUAGCAUUCUAGACAGAAGGCUUUUAUUCUUACUAUUAUUAAUUUAUUAUUGGGAUCUCUGAGGGGAACAUGCCAUGGCAGAUUACAUUCUACGACGAUGAUGAUAGUCACUAUAUAGCUCAGCAUACAGGCACGUACGCGCGCACUUUAUUUAGUUAUUCUGCCAAUGAUCUCAGUCUUCUUCACCGGCCUUCCUCUCGCGCGAUCCCCAUGAUCGAAGCUCCUCACGCGUGCGCGGGUGGUGGCACUGGUGCUACGGUGUAAGCUGCAAUUAUUAAGUCGUGCGUGGAUUAGACGAGCCCGUGCAAAACAGAAAAAUGAAUUGCGCAAAGCCUCUACUUAGUUGCUUACUUCCGCAUUUGCUCCCGACGGUGAGUUUGAUUUUGCAGUCGUGGGCGAGGUGGACGAGCUUCACGGGGCUGACGGUACGCUCGUCGGAGGCGGUGAGGACGCGGCAGAUGCAGGGCAUGUCGACCUUCUUCACCUCGUUGCGGCAGGCCUGGCUUGGGGGCAUGUAGAAGCCCUCCUUCUUGAUGCUCUUGAUGCAGAUGCUCAUGAUCCUGUCCCUCUCGUCGUAGCAGUCCUUCUCCCCCGCGGCGAGAUGCGCCGCGAACCCGGCGAAGAGCGACGCGAACAGCAGGGCACGGACGAGGCUGGCUCCGGUGCGGCGGCCCAUCUCCGUGUCUAGGCCGUAGCGUGUGAUGCUGGUAUGCUUGCGAGUGGUGUGCAUGAUGCUGGCAGUGGGAGCUCGUUUAUAUAGUAGCCGAGGACCCCCGGUGCACGUACGAUCGACGGAGAGAUCGACGACCUACCUACCUGGUUGACGGCGGCGCUAGUUGCAUUAAAACGGUUAGCGGCGACAAGAAAGCAAAUGAUCUUAGAGCUUCGAUCGAACUGCUAUAGGCAUUACAGAGGCAUAUGUCGCUUCAUUGAAUCCGGGUCUUGGUAGUGGGUGCAGUGAUCGACCUAAGGCAUCAAGUCCAAGAACAGAUGAACUCAGCUGCAGAUGCUGAACUCAGCUACAGAUGAACCAGUGAAGAGGCAUCGCAGACAGUUGUAUCUGUAUGCAUUACACCAACUUUUUUUGGCUCUUCAAUGCAAGCAGGCAGGUCCCAUUUAACUCCUAGAAAAAUCUCUAAGGCCAUUAGUGAUCGCCCAUUAGUGGGUUAAUUACAUCAUAAGUUGUGUUGUAAAAACUCAAAUUAAGUAGCGCUCAACCGCCUGGCUCCAUUGAGAAAAAUCUAGUGUCCUUCACUGAGAAAAGGUCAAAAAAUCAAGCGCUUCUGCCUCUGAAAAAACCGGACACCGCUUUUUAUAUUAGUAUUAAGAAAAUGUUUGCAAUUUUUUUGAAAAAUACUCUUGAAUUAUGGAAAAUGGUUCAUGAAUGCAAAAAGUAUCGGCGCUUUUGAUAAAAUGUUCAAGAGUUUUAGUGAAAUGCUCACGAAUUUAAAAACAAAUCAUGAUUUCAAAAUCCUCAAUUAGUACAAAAAAUUUAACAUUUAAAAUUAAGUUUCAAUAUUUUGACAAAUUUUAAAAUAGGGAAAAAGAAAAAAAAGUAAAAUAACAAAGAUAAAAUGAAAAAAAAACAGAAUGAAAACAUGGGAAAAUAAACUUAAUAGAAAGUAAAAAAAGGAGUAAAAAAAGGCAGAAAAGCAACAGAAACACGCAAAAACCAAGCAAUAGAAAAAAAAUCAACCAAAAUGGGCCAACCACAUUGCCUCUCGCUUCUGGCCGUGGGGCGUCGAUCCUCAAUGCAGACAAUGAGGAACGAUACAAAGCUGUCUGGACUGCCAAUGCUAGAGCUAAAGGGGCACUCAGAUAUGAUCUGAGCUUGCCCGCCGAUAAGACUGGACCGGAGGAUAGCCAAGGUCCAUGACGACAGCCCCAAGUGGGUGAUUAUGCAACACAACGUCGACAUUGUGACCGAAGGUAUGCUCAAGGGUUUUCACUAGAGCCCUAGCAUCGGGAGGGGAAGCACAAUGACGCCACCAAGAGAGACAUGACACACACAUGCAUCGCCACAGCCAGAGUGCGGACCUUUCGGUCGAUGUCUCACCGCGGCGCACCGAGGUGUUAUGGUCCCAAAAGUCCACCGCCACCACACCAUGAUCCCGGGGCGCCACUACUGAAGCACCGCCACCACCUCCAGGAUCCCCGUCGCCUCGUUCCUCGUUGUCCAUAUAGCCGAGGAGAAAUACCACCAGCAUCACAACGUUGCUCGCCAUAAAGAUAAUCGCACGACCUCGCCAUCAAGGGCCAUCGCCCCAACAUUUUAGAACCCCAAACCCUUGCACCACCAUCGGUCAACACAUAUUUCACAUGUAGAAGCAGACCCACCAUGAACCAUGUGGGUGCCCCCACCUGCCACCAAUGGUGUGAGCCACGGGAAGCAACAUGGCAACGGGAAUACCAGUCAACGAGCAGAAGACGGCAUGCACAACCCCCUAGUCACGGCUUCCCAUCCGGUUCAAUGGCCCACUCACUACCCCAGAUCUUGGUACAAGUGGGCACCUCGGGCAGGAAGCCUCUGGCCCAAGGCCGGGUGAGGCGGCGAACAAUGCCCUCGUCGUGACCAUACCUCAUGAGGAAGAAGACGACCCCCCUCCCAAGUUGUGACCGCCUCAUUGGGCUGAAGAACAUCAUUGGGCCCCAGAUGAGGGAUGGACCGGGCUCCUAGUCAGUGCCCCCAAGGGGAGGCCAUGCGCUGACCCUCCUAGUUGUGUCGACCACUUCCCAGGAUACCCAACCUCUGGUUGUGCGAUGGGUGGUCAGGUGACGGUACGAACAUAGGGUUAGGGGCAUAGAGGGAACCAAGGGGGGCAGAGGAAGCAGGGGAACCGCUCCGCCGUCGCCAACCCAUGGCGAGACUUUGCUCGACGAGGACGACCAGUGGCAGCGAAGGGGGAAUGGCAGGGUCGGUAGUGAAGGGGUGUGGGCUCCGCCCGUGUCACCCUUGGGGACGAUGCAGUUACAUGAGCGAUUUUUUUCCAAACCAAUGUUAAGAUGUUCACAAACGUUCACUAUGUGUUAGUUAUAUAUUUUGAAAUUUUCUUUCUCAGCUAUUUUAAAAAAAAUUACAAAAUAAUUAAGGAAUGUUUAGCAUGUAUCCAAAAAAUGUUCAUAAUAUUUUUUAAUACACGGUGAAUAAUGAUCGAUGCAUAUUUUAUGUAUUUAAAAAUGUUUGACAUCUCUAUAAAAUUGUUUGAUAUAUAUCUAAAAUAUUUCAACAUGUAUAUUAAGAGGUUAAUGUUUUUUUAAGAAGUUCACCAUGUAUUUAUAAAUUUUUGACAUAUAUGUGAAAAAAUAUGUAUAUAUUAAAAACAAUUCAUCGCGUAUUAAAAAAUGUACACCAUAUAUCUUCAAACUUUUUUGAACGAUUUAGAAAUAAAUUCACCAUUUAUUUUGAAAACAAUAUUUUGUAUGUACUUGAAAAAUAAAAGUAUAUAAAUAAAUAUUCAACAUUACUCAGAAAAAGGUCAGCAUAUAUUGAAAAAAAAUACAAAUCAAACAGAAAAAAAAUGUGAAAAUGCAUAAAACAGAAAACUAAACUAAAUAAAAUAUCAAAUGUGUCUCUAAAAAUGUUUAAUGUCUAUUACGAAUGUUCAAAUUUUAUUAAAAUAAUGUUCAUACACUAAAAUCGGGCGGAUUAAAAAAAUCACAAGUUCGAAAUAAACAACAAAAAAGGUGAGAUAGUAAUUAAAAAUAUAAAAACUGAAAAUACAGAAUGACAACAAAAAGAAACGCAGAGAAGGAAAAAAAAAUGGCUCAGAACCUUUCUCGAACUGCCAAAAGGCGCUUCCUAUUUCGCGAGUAUAGCGACCUACCAAAUACUCCUUCGUGCUUCGUCCUCACUACUAUGGGCCGGGCCAUUUCGGCCUUGGAAAGGUUCCAAAGCAAAACCCGCUCUGCCCUUAACCGAUUUAUUAUUUCUUUCUCUUUUCUUUCUUCAAAUAAGUGAAUUUUUCUCAAACUCAUGCUUUUUUUUUGAAUUCGUGAAGUUUUUCCCAAUCCAUGAAUUUUUUUUCAAAUUUAUGAANNNNNNNNNNNNNNNNNNNNNNNNNNNNNNNNNNNNNNNNNNNNNNNNNNNNNNNNNNNNNNNNNNNNNNNNNNNNNNNNNNNNNNNNNNNNNNNNNNNNNNNNNNNNNNNNNNNNNNNNNNNNNNNNNNNNNNNNNNNNNNNNNNNNNNNNNNNNNNNNNNNNNNNNNNNNNNNNNNNNNNNNNNNNNNNNNNNNNNNNNNNNNNNNNNNNNNNNNNNNNNNNNNNNNNNNNNNNNNNNNNNNNNNNNNNNNNNNNNNNNNNNNNNNNNNNNNNNNNNNNNNNNNNNNNNNNNNNNNNNNNNNNNNNNNNNNNNNNNNNNNNNNNGACAUCUGGGAGCAAUUUAUCAAAUUCGUGAAGUUUUUAUGAAUCUGCUAACAUUUUUGGAAUCGAUGGAUAUUUUCUGAAUUUUGGGAACAACUCUUGGAAUUCAUGAACUUUAUUUGGAACUCGCGAAUACUCUUUGAAUCAGUGUAUUGUUUUUGAAAUUUAUAACAUGUUUUGAAAUUAAUGAUUUAUUAAAUUGGCAAAUAGUUUUGCUUAUUUGAACAUUUUUCAAUUUCUUUAAAAUUUAUUGAAAUUCCGGAUCUUUUUCCUAAUAUUUGAACAUUUAUUUAUAAUUUUAAAUUCUUUUAGAUUUUCUAUAAUCCAAUACUAUUUUUUAAAUGGGAACAUUAUCAAAUUUGGAUUUUUUGGGAUCAUGAAUUCUUUUGAAAUUUGGCAGUUUUAAAAGCUCAAACAUUUUCUAAAGAAAAACCAAAAAAGAAAAGACAUAAAAAAUGAAAGAGAAAACAUAGGUGUCCCACUGCACAAUGGGCCGGCUAGCCGGCCCAAAGCGCGCGCACGAGUGUGUGUUGCUACGCUAGCACCGAAUAGCACGGGGAUUAGUAGCUGCCCUUCCAAAACUAGAGAGUAGAAGGUUCCGAACUUGCUCUCGAUCGACUACUGGGCCAUGGGCAGCUCACGUUCGCAGUUGGUGAGUGAUAUAUCCUUCUCGCGGUUGGUGAGAUAUAGCACUGGCGUUCUAUGCUAAAAUUCAAUCAGGGAUCCCAGCUUAAACUGGACUGGACCACACUCAAAAGUAUGUCUAUUUUUUCUAUUUAUUUAUUUGAUAAAGAGAGCGUCCUCUCCGAUUUUCAUUAGCUGAAACCACAAUGUCUGUUAUAUCUACCAGAAGAAACAUGAAAUAGACGAUGACCGCGUGAUCUAAAGGGGUAUGAUGAGAACUACCCAUCAGCGUCGAACGACCACAAGGGGAUAAACCGGCAGACUACCGAUACCUCGUAAACCAACAGACUACAACUCCCUCUCGUGAGAGCCUACAAGUCAGAUCUCCAGAAGAAGGAAUAAAAGAUAGGUUUUCUAAUUUCAUACAAACUGUCUGAUGAGACCAGAAGAAAAGCGUAACAACAGCUUGGUCAGGGGGUAAAGGACUUUUCCUGCAAAUCAUCCAGCCAUGAUUCUGUUACUGUUAGACUUGUGUCGAAUAUUAUUGUACAAGGUAGGUUACAGUUGAACUUGGUUUUGAACUGUGUGUAGACAGGGUAGGAGUUGUGUCCUAAUAGGACACUUGUAUCCUAGGCCUCUCAUAUAUAUCGGGGGUAGACACACGAUGUAACAUAUGCCAACGUAAUAGCACGGGCACGCGGGGGGAGCCGGCGGCGUGUGCCGACGCCCGGGCGGCCGGGGUGCGGUAUUGUAGCGGUGUCAUGGGGAGGAGCGCCCAUAGUCAUGCCCCAGGGAUGUAGCCAUAUCGGUGAACCUCGUUAACAAAUCUCGGUGUCGUGCUCGUGUGAUUGCUUGGUCCUCGGUAGAUCGAUGGAACACCUCGGAUUUAUUCUAACAAGUGAUAUCAGAGCUAGGUUGUUGGGUGGUUGCUGGAUUGUUGAUCUAGAGGAUGGAUCGUUGUCAGAUCGUGCGAAAAUGAUAUGUAAAGAAAUCGGUAUCGAAAUUGAUUGGGAAUUCUUUCGGGGAAGUCGUCGAGUCGCUGUGAUCAGACAAGACCGGGAAGAAGCAAUCGGAAGCAAAAGUCUCGGCGCGCCGAUCGGAUCGAUGCAUAUUGGGCGAGUGGCGGCGGCGUGUGUUUCGGAGGACUCGACAAGACCAGAUUGGAUCACGUUCAGGUGUAGCGUGGGGCAAUAGGAGUCCCGAGCGUGGGCGUGUGGCCGGUGCAGCAGCAAGCUACAGGCAGCGGCCCAGGGGAGCCUUAGGCAGAAGGUGGCCCAUACAGUUGGGCUGCUAUGCUACACGGGCUGACACAAUUGGGGGCUGAAGUUCAGGAUCAUGUCGUGAGAUUUGUUUGCACGAAAAGAAGAGGCACGAUGUCCAGGUUUCACAUGAUACGAGUGUGCGUGUGUGUCAUUGGCAGAUAGAUGAUCUUUGCUGCUAAGGGUACACGGACAUGCACUAGCAAAUAGUGACAAGGAAAAAUAAUUGUGCAAAGAAUUCUUUGGGUCAGGUUUGCAUGGAAUUUUUUCUGUCAAGUUUGCGAAGAGGGCUCGAAAAAUAUGUGAAGACGAGGACAGUGUGUCGUGCGGAUCAUGCAUACACAGGGCGUUCAAGCAAUGCACGGAGAUGUGCGGGGCGGACACGACGCAGGGUGGAGUAUGGUUGCAGUCGGAUAAUUUCGACUGGGUCGGACUGGAUUGUCUGAUGGAUCGACGUGGAUGUUGGUCAAAGCAGAAGAUGGCGGUGAUUUCAGCGAUGACGACAUAGGAGCGUGAUGUUGAUGGUGGCCAAUUUCUGGGGCGUGGAAACACGUGGUGCAUGCCUGAGGGUUUGUGUGGCUUCGACAAGACUAUUGCGCAGGGUUGAUUCAAGACGGUGCACUUGAGAGCUUGGAGUCGACAGGGCGCGGGAGGGUGGCACGUACAACCACCAUGGAGUCAUGUUGAAGGUGGAGUUGGAGUCUGAUGGAGGACUACACUCUGUGCUGAUGGAGGGGCUAUGGCGUAAGAAUUCGGAGAGUCGAAGCCUAUUUCAGCGGGAUAGUGAGAGACACGUGGAUCGGACUGGGUACCAGUGGUCUGAUGGAGGCGUGAUACUCGGCACCGGUCGGCGAUGAUCGAUGGUUCUCUGCAGUGGGAGUUGAGAUAGUGGGGGCUAGCUACCCGGGAGACUCGGCCAGGACAGCAGAGGCUCGACGCGGUGAUAGCGGCGAGGCGUGCGGUAAGCACGGUGACACAGCGACAGGCCAAGGCGCUGGUGGUCAGACAUGUGGUCAGACAAAUUGUGCAGGGGUGCUGAAGCAGUGUUGACGAGUACCGGAUUCAAGUUGGUGACUGGGUCUAUCGGUGCCGGAAGGUGGACAGGAGUUGACCAUGGAAAAUCUGUGAAAGUGACAGAAAGUCUGAAAUUGUCAAAAGCGGAGAGAGUACAUGGCCGUAUAUUCUGUGGUGUUCGGUGCACAUGGCAAAGUGCAGGUGACAAGUACAGAAGGAGGUUGAGUGCUAUAGCUGUGGGACAUGUCAGAGACUAUCCGGGGAAAAGGGUGAGACAACUGUGAAUUUGACUCAGGGUGACACAAGGCGACGGUGAAAUUCCUUCAAGUUUCAGACAGACGAUCAAGGAAGAAUAGUGAUGUUGAGUUCAGAUAACUCUUAUUUGUGGCGUUUAAUACGUGAGUUGUUCAUUUUCACGCAGAUAGUGGUCAGUGUGUGAUGGUGUUGAACGGAUUCUUCGAAAGUUGGGAGCACAAAGUAGAGUAUUGAGGAACUUAAUUUUGCUCGAGUAUUGACUGUGAAGAAGACGAGAAGGGACUACAGUUGCAGGUGGAGUCAUAUGGAGUCUGGGAGUAGCAGCGGUGCUCAUGGCGUAUCUCAAGUCCAAUGUACAUGGAGGUUCGACGCACGGACGAAUUCAAGGUGGUGGAGAAUAUUCGCCAAGGUGGAGUUUGUUAGACUUGUGUCGAAUAUUAUUGUACAAGAUAGGUUGCUAUUGGACUUGGUUUUGGACUGUGUGUAGACAGGAUAGGAGUUGUGUCCUAAUAGGACACUUGUAUCCUAGGCCUCUCAUAUAUAUCGGGGGUAGACACACGAUGUAACUUUAUUGCCUUAUUGAAGCAAAAGCUAUAAAACAUGAUUAAUAUAGUAGCAUAAUCAUGUGAACACACAAAAACAGUAGAGGUAAAUAUUGGGUUGUCUUGCAACAAGCACUUUUCUUUAAUGCCUUAUUAGCUAGGCAUGAUGAUUUUCAAUGAUGCUCACAUAAAAGAUAAGAAUUGAAGCAUAAUUGGAGCAUCAUGAAGCAUAUGACUAGCACAUUUAAGUCUAACUCACUUCCUAUGCAUAGGGAUUUUGUGAGAAAACAAUUCAUGGGAACAAGAAUCAACUUGCAUAGGAAGGUAAAACAAGCAUAACUUCAAGAUUUUCAACACAUAGAGAGGAAACUUGAUAUUAUUGCAACUCCUACAAGCAUAUAUUCCUCCCUCAUAAUAAUUUUCAGUGGCAUCAUGAAUGAAUUCAACAAUAUAUCUAUCACAUAAGGCAUUACUUUCAUGAUCCAGAAGCAUACAAAAAUUAUUACUCUCCACAUAAGCAAAUCUAUUCUCAUCAAUAGUAGUGGGAGAAAACUCAACGAAAUAACUAUCGUGUGAGGCAUAAUCCAAUUGAAAAUUAAAAUCAUAAUGACAAGCUUCAUGGUUAUCAUUAUUCUUUAUAGCAUACAUGUCAUCACAAUAAUCACCAUAGAUAGCAACUUUGUUCUCAUAAUCAAUUGGAACCUCUUCCGAAAUAGUGGAAUUAUCACUAAAUAAAGUCAUGACCUCUCCAAAUCCACUUCCAUAAAUAUCAUAAGAUUCAACACUCUUCAAAAUAGUGGGAUAAUUACUUCCUAAAGUUGACACUCUUCCAAACCCACUUUCAUCAAUAUAAUUAUCAUAAAUAGGAGGCAUGCUUUCAUCAUAAUAAAUAUUCUCAUCAAAACUUGGGGGACUAAAUAUAUCAUAUUCAUCAAACAUAGCAUCCCCAAGCUUGUGGAUUUGCAUAUCAUUAGCAUCAUGGAUAUUCAAAGAAUUCAUACUAACAACAUUGCAAUCAUGCUCAUCAGUCAAAGAUUUAGUGCCAAACAUUUUAAUGCAUUCUUCUUCUAAUACUUUGGCAUAAUUAUCGGAAUCCUUAUUUUCACGAAAGACAUUAGAAAGAUGAAGCAUAUGAUGCAACCUCAAUUCCAUUUUUUUGUAGUUUUAUUUUAUAGACUAAACUAGUGAUAAAACAAUAAACUAAAAGAUUUGAUUGCAAGAUCUAAAGAUAUACCUUCAUGCACUAACUUCCCCGGCACCGACGCCAGAAAAGAGCUUAGUUGACGGGGUGUUAGUGCCACUUACCUAGCCUCCCCGGCAACGGCGCCAGAAAAGAGCUUAGUUGACGGGGUGUUAGUGCCGCUUACCUAGCCUCCCCGGCAACGGCGCUAGAAAAGAGCUUGAUGUCUACUAUGCAACCUUCUUCUUGUAGACUCGUGUUGGGCCUCCAAGCGCAGAGUUUUGUAGGACAGUAGAAAAUUUCCCUCAAGUGGAUGACCUAAGGUUUUAUCAAUCCGUGGGAGGUGUAGGAUGAAGAUGGUCUCCCUCAAACAACCAUGCAACCAAAUAACAGAGAGUCUCUUGUGUCCCCAACACACCCAAUACAAUGAUAAAUUGUAUAUAUAGGUGCACUAGUUUGGCGAAGAGAUGGUGAUACAAGUGUAAUAUGGAUGGUAGAUAAUGGUUUUUGUAAUCUGAAAAUAUAUAAAAACAACAAGGUAACAAGUGGUAAAAGUGAGCGAAACGGUAUUGCAAACAAGGCCUAGGUUUCAUACUUUCACUAGUGCAAGUUCUCUCAACAAUGAUAACAUAAUUAGAUCAUAUAACAAUCCAUCAACAUGCAACAAAGAGUCACUCCAAAGUCACUAAUAGUGGAGAACAAACGAAGAGAUUAUUGUAGGGUAUGACACCACCUCAAAGUUAUUCUUUCUGAUCGGUCUAUUGGGCUAUUCCUAUAAGUGUCACAAACAGCCGUAGAGUUUGUACUAAAAUAACACCUUAAGAUACAAAUCAAUCAAAACCCUAAUGUCACCUAGAUACUCCAAUGUCACCACAAGUAUCCGCGGGUUUGAUUAUACGAUAUGCAUCACACGAUCUCAGAUUCAUCUAUUCAAACCAACACAAAGAACUUCAAAGAGUGCCCCAAAGUUUCUAACGGAGAGUCAAGACAAAAACAUGUGCCAAACCCUAUGCAUAAGUUCACAAGGUCACAGAACCCGCAAGUUGAUCACCAAAACAUACAUCAAGUAGAUCACGUGAAUAUCCCAUUAUCACCACAGAUAAGCACAUGCAAGACAUACAUCAAGUGUUCUCAAAUCCUUAAAGACUCAAUCCGUUAAGAUAACUUCAAAGGAAAAACUCAAAUCCAUUACAAGAAGGUAGAGGGGGAGAAACAUCAUAAGAUCCAACUAUAAUAGCAAAGCUCGGGGUACAUCAAGAUUGUGCCAAAUCAAGAGCACGAGAGAGAGAGAGAGAGAGAGAGAGAGAGAGAGAGAGAGAGAGAGAGAGAGAGAGAGAGAGAGAUCAAACACAUAGCUACUGGUACAUACCCUCAGUCCCGAGGGUGAACUACUCCCUCCUCAUCAGGGAGAGCGCCGGGAUGAUGAAGAUGGCCACCGGUGAUGAUUUCCCCCUCCGGCAGGGUGCCGGAACAGGGUCCCGUUUGGUUUUUAGCAGCUACAGAGGUUUGCGGCGGCGGAACUCCCGAUCUAGGUUAUGUUCUAGAGGUUUGGGGAUAUAUAUAUAAGAGGUGUUGGUGUCGAGAACAAGUCAGGGGGUCCACGAGGGGCCCAUAAGGUCGGAGGGCGCGCCCUAGGGGGGUGGGUGUUGGGUUUCGUAGUAAUUUCAAAAUUUUCCUACGCACACGCAAGAUCAUGGUGAUGCAUAGCAACGAGAGGGGAGAGUAUGACUAUGUACCUUGUAGAUCGACAACGGAAGCGUUUGGUUGAUGUAGUCGUACGUCUCCACGGUCCGACCGAUCAAGCAACGAAACUACGGCACCUCCGAGUUCUAGCACACGUUCAGCUCGAUGACGAUCCCCGGACUCCGAUCCAGCAAAGUGUCGGGGAAGAGUUCCGUCAGCACGACGGCGUGGUGACGAUCUUGAUGUACUACUGCAGCAGGGCUUCGCCUAAACUCCGCUACAAUAUUAUCCGAGGACUAUGGUGGAAGGGGGCACCGCACACGGCUAAGAAUAUGAACACGUGGAUCAACUUGUGUGUUUCUGGGGUGCCCCUGCCUCCGUAUAUAAAGGACUAAGGGAGGGGGGUGCGGCCGGCCAUGGAGAGGCGCGCCAGGAGAGUCCUACUCCCUCUGGGAGUAGGAUUCCCCCCCCCCCAAUCCUAGUUGGAAUAGGAUUCGCGGAGGGGGGAAAGGAGAGAGAGGGGCCGGCCCCCUCUCCUUGUCCUAUUCGGACCAAGGGAGGGGAGGGGCGCGCGACCCAUGUUGGGCUGCCUCUUCUCUUUUCCACUAAGGCCCACUAUGGCCCAUAUAUCUCCCGGGGGGUUCCGGUAACCUCCCGGUACUCCGGUAAAAUCCCGAUUUCACUCGGAACACUUCCGAUAUCCAAACAUAGGCUUCCAAUAUAUCAAUCUUUAUGUCUCGACCAUUUCGAGACUCCUCGUCAUGUCCGUGAUCACAUCCGGGACUCCGAACAACCUUCGGUACAUCAAAAUGCAUAAACUCAUAAUAUAACUGUCAUCGUAACCUUAAGCGUGCGGACCCUACGGGUUCGAGAACAAUGUAGACAUGACCGAGGCAUGUCUCCGGUCAAUAACCAAUAGCGGGACCUGGAUGCCCAUAUUGGCUCCUACAUAUUCUACGAAGAUCUUUAUCGGUCAGACCGCAUAACAACAUACGUUGUUCCCUUUGUCAUCGGUAUGUUACUUGCCCGAGAUUCGAUCGUCGGUAUUCCAAAUACCUAGUUCAAUCUCGUUACCGGCAAGUCUCUUUACUCGUUCUGUAAUACAUCAUCCCGCAACUAACUCAUUAGUUGCAAUACUUGCAAGGCUUAAGUGAUGUGUAUUACCGAGAGGGCCCAGAGAUACCUCUCCAACAAUCGGAGUGACAAAUCCUAAUCUCGAAAUACGCCAACCCAACAUGUACCUUUGGAGACACCUGUAGAGCUCCUUUAUAAUCACCCAGUUACGUUGUGACGUUUGGCAGCACACAAAGUGUUCCUCCGGCAAAUGGGAGUUGCAUAAUCUCAUAGUCAUAGGAACAUGCAUAAGUCAUGAAGAAAGCAAUAGCAACAUACUAAACGAUCGGGUGCUAAGCUAAUGGAAUGGGUCAUGUCAAUCAGAUCAUUCACUUAAUGACGUGAUCCCGUUAAUCAAAUAACAACCACUUGUUCAUGGUUAGGAAACAUAACCAUAUUUGAUUAACGAGCUAGUCAAGUAGAGGCAUACUAGUGACACUUUGUUUGUCUAUGUAUUCACACAUGUAUUAUGUUUCCGGUUAAUAUAAUUCUAGCAUGAAUAAUAAACAUUUAUCAUGAUAUAAGGAAAUAAAUAAUAACUUUAUUAUUGCCUCUAGGGCAUAUUUCCUUCAGUGGGGGCACCCUCCACCCUUGUGGAGGCCUUGGGACUCCUCUGGUGCAUCAUCGGUACUCCGUGGUCUUUUUUUGGUCCAAAAAACAAUCGUCCUAAAGUUUCAGAUCAAUUGGACUCCGUUUGAUAUUCCUUUUCUGGAAACUCAAAAACAAGGAAAACCAGAAACUGGCACUGGACUCUAGGUUAAUAGUUUAGUCUCAAAAAUCAUAUAAAAUAUCAUAUAAAUGCAUAUAAAAACAUCCAAGAUAGAUAAUAUAAUAGCAACAAAUAAAAAAUUAGAGAUACGUUGGAGACGUAUCAGUGGCAGGUUGAUAUAGGGGCCAACAAAUGGGCAGGAGGCGCAACACGUCUAGUAGUCAGGAGAUCCGCCUCGAGCCGAGGGAAUAGGACACAUGUCGAGGCGGAGUCCAUGUCAUCGUUGGAGGGGAGAUUGGUUGCCGCAGUCGGCUUAUCAAUACGGGCAUACUGGCUAUGUGGCAGCGACACCGGCUCCCCCUUGACGCGGUGGAGCGGCAACGAGGGCCGCACUGAAACACGGUCCUUGAGCGACCGCUCAAGGAGGAGCUACAUGUGCGCCUAGUACUCCUUGUCGGUUGUCGCGGCCUCUGCGAGGAGGCGCGUGUGCUGCGGCUUCUACUCCUCCUCGUUGUUGGAGUAAAGGAUGGUCUCUCUUCCUUCCUGAAGGAGCAGGGCGCCUUGGACUUGGAGGAUGAUGACCCCAAAGAGCGACGACUGCGGUGCCUCGAUAUGGAUCCGGAAGAAGAUCCACAUGGAGAACCAAGACAUCGACAUCGUCGUGUAAAAGACAAUAAGGUCGAUAGCAGUGAGCGAAUAUGAACAGAGCGGCGGUGAGCAGAGAGGAAAGGAUAUGUGAUAUGUACGGCGUCAGAUCCAUGCAUAAGUAGUCGCGGCAAGGCGAACGGGCGAGCAGCUGGCUUCAAUACAUCACACCCGUUCGGAGUAGGCUUCUCGGCCACCGUGCCAGCAUUGAACCAUACAACAUGGCCUGCUGGAGCGUUUUACCGGCAUGAAUUAAUGUGCGGCAAUUGUUUUACAUGGAAGAGGGUUUAGAGUUUGGCGUGGCGGGCAUGCCGAAAACAUAGAAGAGGAUUUUAGCGGCAAUUGUUUCACAUGGAAGAUGGUUUUAGAGUUUGGCGUGACGGGCAUGACGGAAACGUAGAAGAGGAUUUUAGAGUUUGGCGUGGCAGGUGUGACGGCUAGGCGCGUACGUGAUGGAAACAUGGAAAAGGGUUUAGAGUUUGAUGUACAUGACGGAAACAGAUUUUAGAGUUUGGCGGAUAACCUUCCCUAAUUUAUCGGACCUUUCCUAAUUUUUUGCAUUUGAUUUGUGAGAAAACGCCGUCGUCUCCCUUAAUUUGCUAAUUUGUCGGGCCUUUCCUAAUUUGUGUGUUUGAUUUGCGGGGGACACAAGAAUUGAAAUAAUAAGGUCCUAAUUUGUGUGUUUGAUUUGCGGGAAAAGAGACACAAGCAUUGAAAUAAUAAGGUUUUAGACACAAGAAUUGGAAUAAGGUUUUAGAGUUUGGCGGGCAACCUUCCCUAAUUUAUCAGACAUUCCCUAAUUUUGUGUGUUUGAUUUGUGGCAAAACGCCGUCGUCUGUCGUAAUUUGUCAGCCCUUUUCUAAUUUGUGCGUCUGAUUUGCGGGAAAAGGGAAGGUUUUAGACACAAGAAUUGAAAUAAGGUUUUAGAGUUCGGUGACGACCGUCCAGACGUCUUGCGGCCGAUUUGCGGGAAAUGUCGGCCGAUUUGUGGGAAAACAAAUAGAUUUGCGGGAAAACAAACACAAAAGCUGUAAACAUCCCCUGAUUUGCAUUCGAUUAAAACAAACACAAAAACUGUAAACAUCCCCUGAUUUGCAUUCGAUUUGCAGAAAAACCGAACACAAGAACAUGUUCACAGACAAUUAAAAUCCGCAUCGAAUGGCGAACUACAUCUGAACUCCGCAGUCUGGAUGGCAAACUACGUCCUAACAUUUGUGGGUGUUUUGAGGGACGUGUGUGGUCUGGACGUUUACUAGUGUUUUGAGGGUCCGUUAGAGAUGCCCUAAGAAAGAGCAACCGUCAACAUACGAAAUCGAACUUCAUACAACAACACUCACACUAGAACAUCGAAGGCACCAUUUACAGCAUGAUACAUUCUAUUCCGGUACAUGGGCGUGCAUGCACACAGCAUACACUUGUGUACCAACUACGUACGACUGACGGGCAGGUUACAGACUACAAGGUAGACCCUGCUCCCCUCACAAUCUCUAGAUGUACUUCUCCGCCGCCGGGUGCCAGCCGCUGGCCGGGUACGCGGGGUCGGGGGCCACGGGGGUGCCAACGGGGCCGUGGUGGCCGCGCGUCCCGGCCGUGCCGUGGCGUCUCGCGGCCGCGUCGGCGCGGUGCUCGGCCUUCUCCUGGUGCAUCUGCGCGUCGGCCUGGCCCUUGCGCGCGCGCUCCUCCUCCUUGGCCAUCUCCUUUUCGCCGUGCGUGGUCGCCGCGGCCUUGCCCGCCUUGCCCUGCACCUCGGCCGAUCCCUCCUUCGCCUUCUCCUUGGCCGAGCUCACCAUGUCCUUGGCCUUCACCUUCGCCGCCUGCAUCGUGUAGUGUGUCGGUCCUCCAAUGGCUGCCUCGUGCGUCGGGUGCGGGUGACUGGUCGUGUGGAUAUAGUUCUUCCGUGGAUGUCUUGCUUCUGUACGUGAGCUCUUGGGUAUGGUGGAUUUGUAGGCGCUGAUUGCUCGGAACGGCGGCGGCGGUGGAGUUUGGUUUCUUGCCGGACGCGAGCGGCGUCCUCUCGCCUGGCAGCACGUCAGCUACGGGGUGGCUGGUGGCGCGCAUGCGGCGAUGCCAGAGCAGCGGGAGCUGCACGUCGCGGCUUGAGGUGGCAAACUGGCAGCCCGCGAACGUUGGGCCUGUGCGGUCGCGUAGGCCGCCUCGCACCGCCUCGCACCGCCGAUCUGCCAUGUGGUGGAUGAUGAAUUUACUCUAAAACUAAAUAAAUAUCCUUCCCGCUUCUGUAAGAUUUCAGAUCCUGAUGGUUUGGUUUGUAAUUAUUUCUCUGGAAAUAGGGGGUGUCACAUUGAUUUCGGACGAUCUCUGUUUGGCAGUGAUGGUUCAGAACUAUGCGAACCUGCUUGGUGAUCUGGAAGAUGUUCAGUUUAAUGAAACUGCUGAUAGAGCUAUCAGGUUACUGGAUAAGAAGGGAUAUUAAGAAAAAUUCCACAAAGAGGCAACAUCUGUCUUUGUUCUUCAGCUUCCUUGCGUGCGACUUGUGUUGUUUUUCUUUUGAUCGAGCUUACUGUCCUAAUUGGGAUACUAGUAUGGGGCGAGCCAGGUUUAUGAAAAAACUUUGUUUUUUCUUUGGAUUCCUAAAACCCAGAUAAUGGAAGUUAUCAUUUCUCUAAACAUGUUCGAGAAACUUGAAGGCAUGAUUUUUCGAAAUGUAAGAACCAUACAGUUUAGAAAUGAAUCAAAUUCAUGCACUAGUAAACUAAAAAAAAAAAUCACGCAUCAUCUUAUAAAUUGAGUAACCAAGGCAAAAAUAUAUGAGUUUAUGACCACACAUGUUUCUCCUCUACACUUCUGUUAGGAUCACACAAAUACAAAUUAUACUAGCAUAACCAAAAGGCCAAAAGGUAAACCUUGAAGGAUCAUCCUGAGCACAAGAAAUGUGCGAGGCCAGAUCAUCAAAGAAACACCACACAAAAAAUGGUAAUUUACUCUCAUAUCAUACACUUUAGGCAUGAUCCUGAACUUAAUAUCCAAGUAUAGUACGGAGCGACCAAUCUACAAGAACACAAACUCAGCAUUCUCCCCCAACGUGUUUAUCUAGACAGUAUCAUCAUCCUCAACAGUGUGAUUUGACAUCCUCAAGUUAGCAUACAUCUCUUGCAAACAAAUGACGUCCACCAACAACCAGUUGUCCCCAUUGCACAGCCAGAUGCAAAGUCAAAAAUUCCUGGAACUCUGGAAUCGUCAUCAUCAGGUGAUAACUAGGUGUUCAUCUCGCCAUACUCCACCCUAUGUAGGGGUGGAAUUGUUGAGAAACUUGAGAAUAAACCUGAGAAUGGUUAUUAAAAAACUGGGUGAAACGGUUCGGUUAUUACUUUGGGUUUGAUUGGUUCAGGUUUUAUUGGGCUAAAUCUUUUUUAGUUUGGUUUUGGUUUGGGUAUGUGAAGAAACCAAUUUGGGUAUAGUUGGUUAUGGGCUUAAACAGUUUGGUUAUUAACGGUUAUAAACUAUGGGUCCAAACCGGUUUCUGGGCAUUGUUUAUGUGCAAUAAGCAACGACGCAUCGACAACGAGUAUCUUUGAUCCGCCUACAUGUUGCGAUGCACUAUGUAAUUAUGUAUUAUGGGAAAACACCACAUGCAAAUCGAAUGUGUUUGCUUGUGCUUUAGCUAAGCAAUUGGUUUUAAUACACUUGUCAGUGAGCUUUUUAGUAGUGGGCAUUGUCUUUUUGACACUUGCUGUGUGUUGACCGUAUCUCAACGAUAACUUUGUUCCCAAACUAUUGUAGAUGCACUUAUGUCUUUUCUAUACCAUUUGCUUCUUGACAUGUCGAUUUGUGCAAUCAUAUAUACAUUGAAGCAAACCCAUAGUUAUGUAUUGGGUUUAAACCCACGGUUAUGUAUUGGGUUUAAAUUGGUUUGGGUGGAAAAAAUAGAUGGUUUAGUUUUGGUUGGGCUGAAAAUGGCAUUAAACGGGUAUGGUUCAACUAUGGUUUUGAGAGAUACAUGUAUGGGUAUGGUUCAAGUAUGGUUUAAGUAUGAAACCGUUCUCAGAUUUAGUUGAGAACCCAAAAUUUAAGACAAGAAUGUCAUUCCCGAAGCUCGUAUGUAUGUUUUAUUGGGGACAAGCAGAGGUCCUGGAAAACAUGGCCGAUAGCAAUAAGGGAAGCGUGUCUUAGCCGAAGUAUGCAAGAACCAGACACCGUCUUUAAACAUAUAAAAGUGUGCCACAAUUUUUCCUCCUCCUGGUCCUGGAAGAACCAGAAGUAGGCCACUUUGUUUGAAGAAGAUGCAUAUGGUAUUGCCCUCCGGUAGGUCACGAGGGGGUUGUGGGACGAUGGGCACUGCUCUCUCGAGGCACAACGGGGAUGGUCCAGCCCGAAACGUGGAUUCGGAAUUGCCCCUGAUGAGGAUGCGACCGUUGUGGCAGCCCCCGAUCCAUGCAUUAUGAUAGCCAUCAAAGUUGUAGCUUGUCGCACGACGGGCGACAACGGCGAGCUUGGGGGGCUGAGGCGGCAUUAGGGUGAAGAGUUAGGGUGCUGUGAGGUAGAAGCCGAGGGGGCGAGGAGGGUGCGGCUUACGAAAUUGGCGGGGGAAGGCUGGGUUGGAGGCGUGGAGGAACCAACGCUACGAGGAUGGCGCCGAUGAGUGCAGUGGGGAAGCCAAGGCAGACGAUGAUCUCAAUGAGGAGGUUGUUGUCGUCGAGCACCUUGGACACCGGGUCGGCACAUGGCAGCUUCUUCGCAUUCACACGUGGCUUUGAUGAAAUGCAAUCGGCCCUAAUACAAUAGCAGCAAUAACAACGCUAUUCAAAAAUUGGUCAAUUCAACAAUUUAUCGCUAUCGGGGGGAGGGGGGGGUGUGGUGAUCGAUAAGAUUAUGCCAUAUCAUUAUCGUUUAUCAUUUGGUUUGAUUUAUCGCUCUGGCAAGCGAUUUAUCAGGAAUCUACUGAUAAACCAGGCCUAUUCCUAGAACAUGCUUAUUUCUUUUUUGUGGACCUUGCUAGUUCUACUUUGCUUGUAAUUGUACAAGGAUUUAGAGGCAAGGAAUCCAACAUAACACUUGUGUCCAAUAUUAAUUUUGUGUUGAAUAUAGCAUAUUUCAGUGAUGUGAACUUGAGAUUUGAACAAAAAUGGCUGAUUAAUAGCCGACGAUAAAAUCAAUCAAUCAAUCAAUUUUUAAUUAAUCUCUAAGCCGACCGAGACAUUAACGACAAGCAAUAUCCUUAACAUUCAACAUUCAGUAGCAGCUGGGACUGACAAAUGCAACAAUCCAGCUAAACAUUGAGAAACUGCGCAAAACAAUAAGAAAUUAGAUAUCACCCUACGUAUCGUUCCCGUCUCAGCAUGUCCAUGGUAUGUCUGCCUCCCUGUCUAUCUCCCUGUCUCAGCAAGUACUCCCUUCGUUUUUAAAUAUGUCCCUUUAGUGAUUUUAAAUGAACUAUCACAUACGAAUGUAUAUAAACCUAUUUUAGAACGUAGAUUCAUUCAUUUUGUUUUGUAUAUAGUCAUUUGUUGAAAUCUCUAGAAAACAAAUAUUUAAAAAAAGCAUGUACAGACCACCGUGGUAUAUCUGCCUCCCUGUCAUGGUAUGUCUACCUCCCUGUCUCAGCAAGUACUCCUAAAACUCAGUCGAGGCACAACGGAGUACUCCCUCCGUUCUAAAUUACUUGUCUUGGAUUUGUCUAGAUACGGAUGUAUCUAGACUCAUUUUAGUGCUAGAUACAUCCGUAUCUAGACAAACUUUGAUAGUUUGGGCUUGCUAAAACUCAGUCGACUAAGAUUUAGUAAGUCCUAAUCGACCUUGCAGCAUUGUUGGUCGUAUCACGUCAUCUCACCGGUUGGUUGUAUCGCGUCGUCUCAUCGGUUUGACGCAUCCUCCAUUAACGGUUGUAGCAUUUUAGUCAUUAACGAUUGUAGCAUUUCAGUUAGAACGGUUGUAGCAUAUGUUAUCGUUGCUUGCAUCACCGUAGCACCACAACUACGACUGACUCAGUUCAAUAGUUUUAUGUUCCAAGCUCCAAUUGGAUGGUCUUGAUCUGUCCUCUCGCUCUGAACGCCGAGCUCCAACUGGAUGGUCUUGAUCUGUCCUCUCGCUCCGAACGAUCUCCUCUCUCUCUCUCUCUCUCUCUCUCUCUACUAUCUUCAUGUAGUUGGGGGAACACUCCACUAUCUGCACGUAAAUAUUUGGGGGACAUCAAGCUAGGGUUUCCGGCGAAGUAAAUUAGUAGGGGAUCGAGAUCAACCUAGGGUUUCCCGCAAGAAACUAAGAAAAGAGAAGUAGAUUAGUAGGGGACCGAGAAGAGGAAGGAGAUGGGGUCGCCGACCUCGAACCGCCGGUGACUGGGUUGAGAUCGCCUCUUUUUCGCUCGGCUCCGGUGGCCGUUGUGCUGAGUGGAGACUGAAUCAGCUGAGCGACGCCCUCUCUUUGGCUAGAGCGCCGGCAUUCAUACGCACCACUGCUUUGCUAUCCAGCUCCACAUCAAGUUUGUUCACGUCCAUUUCUGAGCAUCUGAUUCUCACGCACGCCAAGCGAAUAAGCAAGUACUCAUGUCACAAAUUACGAAUCAAAUUUUGUGAUGAAAACAGGCAAGAGCACUGGACUCACAAAUUACUAGUACAUCAAAGGUGCAUUUUACAACUGACCGAUACAUUUUAUUCGGGCACACGCAUGUUCGCACAGCAUACACGCGCGCGCCAACUACGACACACGGGCAGGAUCACUAGCCACACACAAAAAACACUAGCUGCCAGCUCCUGAUCCCCCGAUCAUCUGGCGUCUAGACGUACUAG